rnacentral:rRNA from 1 species
GUCUAUGGCCAUGCCACCCUAAACGGGCCGGAUCUCUUCUGAUCUUGGAAGCUAAGCAGGGUCGGGCCUGGGUAGUACUUGGAUGGGAGAUUACCUAGGAAGACCAGAUGCUGUAGGCA